UCCUAUGAGGGAGACGAAGAGACGUGAUCGACAGUUGGGCACCUAGGUCAUGAGGAGUCAGUGGUGCAACCGACCCAAUGAUGA
rnacentral:ncRNA from 1 species